UACAGGGGGUGCAACCGUUGCUCGGAAUCAUUGGGCGUAAAGCGCACGUAGGCGGUUCGUUAUGUCGGAUGUGAAAGCCCUUGGCUUAACCGAGGAAGUGCAUCCGAAACUGGCGAGCUAGAGUACGAAAGAGGAUCGCGGAAUUCCCGGUGUAGAGGUGAAAUUCGUAGAUAUCGAGAGGAACACCGGUGGCGAAGGCGGCCAACUGGACGAGUACUGACGCUGAGACACGAAAGCGUGGGGAGCAAACAGG
rnacentral:rRNA from 1 species